rnacentral:rRNA from 1 species
AUUGAACGCUGGCGGCAUGCUUUACACAUGCAAGUCGAACGGUAACAGGCCUUCGGGUGCUGACGCGUGGCGAACGGGCGAGUAAUGCAUCGGAACGUGCCCAGCGGUGGGGGAUAACGCAGCGAAAGCUGAGCUAAUACCGCAUGUGAUCUGAGGUUGAAAGCGGGGGACCAAGCAGCAAUGUUUGGCCUCGCGCCUCUGGAGCGGCCGAUAUCAGAUUAGGUAGUUGGUGGGGUAAAGGCCUACCAAGCCGACGAUCUGUAGCUGGUCUGAGAGGACGACCGGCCACACUGGGACGGAGACACGGCCCAGACUCCUACGGGAGGCAGCAGUGGGGAAUGUUGGACAAUGGGCGCAAGCCUGAUCCAGCAAUGCCGCGUGCGGGAAGAAGGCCUUCGGGGUGUAAACCGCUUUUGUACGGAACGAAAAGGCUCUGGCUAAUACCUGGGGCUGAUGACGGUACCGGAAGAAUAAGCACCGGCUAACUACGUG